rnacentral:tRNA from 1 species
CGAAAAGGUGCUUGGGGCCGACGAGUUGCGUGUCUAUCAUGCCCGCAAGGCGCGCUCUGAGCGGCGAGGUCUGGCGUUCCUCGCCACACGUUUCGC